rfam:Hordeum vulgare subsp. vulgare, WGS project CAJW01000000 data, contig: morex_contig_367287
GUCGAGAAGAGGAAGAAAAUAGAGCCUCAGAGCAAUUGGAAUGGUAACAUGGAGGAAAUACUAACUUGCUUUGUUUUCACCACUAGUCUUGGAGGUGAGAAUUGAGUUAGGUAUUUCCCGAUGCCUCCUGUUCGAGUUGUUCUCAAGCACUCCUUCCUUUUCAUUUUGGCU